GGUCUUGUAGUUCAGCUGUUAGAGCAUACGUGGACAAAUCCUAGUUGGCGUCCAUGCGUCGGUUCGAAUCCUACCGAGGCUA
rnacentral:tRNA from 1 species